rnacentral:lncRNA from 1 species
UAACUUUUUGCUUAAGAUUUCACUAUAAAGAUUUUGGGUAAAAAUUAUAUGUUCAAUGGUGAUAGUUUCAUAUUUAAUGCUAUUAAUUUAUGCUCUAUUUUUUAUUUUACAAGUGCCACGAUAAUCAAGUUUGUAGUCUUCUCGAAUAUUUCAUUAAUUUAAUAAUAAAUUUAAUCUCAUCCGCUAGAUUUCAUAAUGUUGAAUCCAACGGUGAGCGUCUACCACUACAUCAUAUAUAAAGUACUCAUGCUUGAUAUAUUGAGAUUGACAAGAAGCAAAAUCUUAAUAAAGAUUAACGUGCUAGCUGAAUCAGUGGUGUGCUCCCAUUUCUAUUUUCUCCUAAACAAAUAUUAACUCUAAUGCGAGAGAGUAUGCGAUAAAGAUGAACACACUAUUUAAAUAAUUGAUAUGCCAAGAAGUGAGUGUCAUGACCUAACACAAACCUAACAAGAUAUUGUUUGCUUUGGACCUUAACAAGGCUCAUACGGUUUUGUUCCUAGGGCUCCCAUAUACUGCAAAACGUGUCUUGCCAAUUAGGGUGUGGAUCACCCCUUACAAAUCUAACAUCUCUCUCGUGCUUUGUCGAUGUGAGAUUCGCCUAGGGUGUUACGAUAAUAGUCCUCUAUAACUUUAAUUUGUUGGCAAGCCCCCAGGGACAAUUAAGGUUUCCCUUCAGUGAAAUUUCAGUGAAAUUACAUACUUUGCUUUUCAUAUUUUAUUUAUUCUUUCGAUUUUGGCCCCAUUUGGGAUUGAACUUGGAACUCAAUAAGUGGCUUAUUUUAUAAUUUGUCACAAAAAUAGUGUUUGAUAAAUUUUGUGAAAGCCGUUUAUUUCAUAAUUUUCUCUAUUUUUACAGUAGCUUUUAAAAGUAGGUGAGGGGUUGCUUCUUAUAAGCAGCUUAAUAAAUAGGCUAUCGU